AUGCUCAGUGCUCUGUCCGGCAUAACACAAGAAGUUCAUGUAAAACAGCUGCGAACAUUCAGGUACAUCAAAGAAUAUACUCAUGUGUGCAUAUAGAUGAGUUCUCACCUACCCAUUUUGCUCUCGAUGGUGCUUCUGUAGUUCAGCUUGAGUGUGUGAGAGAGAUUAGUUGAUGUUGUUAUCCUUGUUUUUUCUGAGAGAGAUUAGCUCGCCCCUCCUCCAUCGAUGGCCUACACCGUCCGCUAGAACCCGUCCAGGUGCUGGCCGUCAUCCUCUACCUUCAAUUACGGGUCAGCAACAACGUUGCGAAUAGAAAGGUCAGCAUCUGGCCCUCUAGAAGUUCAGUUUGUUGAUUUUCUGAAGUUUUUAAAUUGGACUAUAACCGUGUAUAUUUUGCAGGGCCCUGUGAAGUUCAAUUUGUUUUGCUUUCCGAAGUUUAGUUUGUUGAUUUUCUGAAGUUUGGAUUGUUAAUUUUUUGAAGAGAAAGGUUGAUUCACUUGCACUCCUCUAUCUAGUCCUCUGUGGUGAUAUCCUCGACUCCUCGGUUCGGAGCUAGCAGCGGUUCUUCAACUUCCCUGCUGUGUUGUCGCGAUUGUUGGUAAAUAAUUUGUUCUACUAUUUCCUUGUAGUAAUGCUGGAUGGGUUCCCCCUUGUUGUGGAACCAUAAUAAUAUAAGUUUGUCUCUGCGCUCCUGUUCCUGUGAUUACAAUAGCAGAGAAAAGUACCAAGGGUCAGAACCAAACCAGAGUGAACCAUACGAAUCAGAACAUGGUCAUUUGGAACCAACUCUAAUCAUUUGUUCAUCUAACUGCAGUAGAGACAAAUUUUAUACUUUGUUCAUCUACGGUGCCAAGUUGAGCGGACACCGUAGCGCUCGAGAAGAUGGGGAGAGGGUGUGUGGUGAAGAGAAAACAUAGGGUUUCAAAUUGUCCAUUGGUGGUAGCAUCUAAUCAUUUUACCAAAGUGUAAUGGACAUGUGUAUGUAUGUACAGUAGCAUAUUUUACUCAAACCGAGUUAUUUUUUUAAUGCACGAAGUUUGUCCAGCCAAAAAAACAUGUAUUAAACUGGUUUUUGUGUAUUUUUCUAACCUUUUCUACACCUUUCUAC
rnacentral:lncRNA from 1 species